AUGAGCUGUGGAUAGCGGAGAAAUUCCAAUCGAACUCGGAGAUAGCUGGUUCUCCUCGAAAUAGCUUUAGGGCUAGCGUCGGGUAAAAUAAGUAAUGGAGGUAGAGCACUGAAUGGGCUAGGGGGCAUUGCGCUUACUGAACUCUAUCAAACUCCGAAUGCCAUAUACUUGUACCCCGGCAGUCAGACUGCGAGUGAUAAGAUCCGUAGUCAAAAGGGAAACAGCCCAGAUCAUCAGCUAAGGUCCCAAAGUGUAAGUUAAGUGGAAAAGGAUGUGGGAUUUCUAAGACAACUAGGAUGUUGGCUUAGAAGCAGCCACUCAUUCAAAGAGUGCGUAAUAGCUCACUAGUCGAGAGAUCCUGCGCCGAAGAUGUCCGGGGCUAAAACUUACCACCGAAGCUAUGGAUGUACCGUAAGGUACGUGGUAGAGGAGCUUCCUGUAUGGGCAGAAGUCAUACCGAAAGGAAUGGUGGACUGUACAGGAGUGAGUAUGCUGGCAUAAGUAGCGAGAAAUGAGUGAGAAUCUCAUUGGUCGAAAACCUAAGGUUUCCUGAGGAAGGCUCGUCCGCUCAGGGUUAGUCGGGACCUAAGCCGAGGCCGAAAGGCGUAGGUGAUGGACAAUCGGUUGAUAUUCCGAUACCAGAAGUGGCGUUAUUAGAGAUGGAGUGACACAGUAGGAUAGGAUGUGCACACUGUUGGAUUAGUGUGUCUAAGCAUUUAGGUUUGCAGAUAGGCAAAUCCGUCUGCAGUAACUGAGGUGUGAUGGGGAGCGAAAUUUAAGUAGCGAAGUAUCUGAUUCCACACUGUCAAGAAAAGCUUCUAUCGAGGUAACUUCUGCCCGUACCGCAAACCGACACAGGUAGGUGAGGAGAGAAUCCUAAGACCAGCGGAAGAAUUGUUGUUAAGGAACUCGGCAAAUUGACCCCGUAACUUCGGGAGAAGGGGUGCCUACGCAAGUAGGUCGCAGAGAAUAGGCCCAAGCAACUGUUUAGCAAAAACACAGGUCUCUGCUAAAGCGAAAGCUGAUGUAUAGGGGCUGACGCCUGCCCGGUGCUGGAAGGUUAAGGGGACUAGUUAGCGCAAGCGAAGCUAUGAACUUAAGCCCCAGUAAACGGCGGCCGUAACUAUAACGGUCCUAAGGUAGCGAAAUUCCUUGUCAGGUAAGUUCUGACCCGCACGAAUGGCGUAACGACUUGGGCACUGUCUCAACAACAAAUCCGGCGAAAUUGUAUUGCGAGUGAAGAUG
rnacentral:rRNA from 1 species